UACAGAGGGUGCAAGCGUUAAUCGGAGUUACUGGGCGUAAAGGGCGCGUAGGUGGUUGUGUAAGUGAGAUGUGAAGUCCCUGGGCUUAACCUGGGAACUGCAUCUUAUACUGCAUAACUGGAGUACUGUAGAGGGUAGUGGAAUUUCCGGUGUAGCGGUGAAAUGCGUAGAGAUCGGAAGGAACACCAGUGGCGAAGGCGGCUACCUGGACAGAUACUGACACUGAGGCGCGAGAGCGUGGGGAGCAAACAGG
rnacentral:rRNA from 1 species